AAAGGGAGACCUAAUUCGGGUAUAAGACGAAAAAAUAGUAGUCGAAACCAAGAAUCAAUCCCAAAAGGUCGGAACGAGGUAUGUGGCUUUCAAACUAGGUUCUGGGUUCAUAAAAGACCUGAAUCAGGAACAAGGGCUAUUAGCUCAGGUGGUUAGAGCGCACCCCUGAUAAGGGUGAGGCCCCUGGUUCGAGUCCAGGAUGGCCCACCUGCACAGGUGGUAAAAACAAGAGAAGCGAGGAAUCAGCACCUUAUCUUACUUACAUAGUAAGAGAGAAUGCUGGCUCUGAGUAAAGAGUCCAGAGGAACCUUGAAAACUGCAUAGAGCUAGGUGAAAAAGCCAAAAAAGAAGACCGCAAG
rnacentral:tRNA from 1 species